rnacentral:rRNA from 1 species
UUAAGUUAUGAAGGGCGCAUGGUGAAUGCCUUGGUACUAGGAGCCGAUGAAGGACGGGACUAACACCGAUAUGCUUCGGGGAGCGGUAAGUACGCUUUGAUCCGGAGAUUUCCGAAUGGGGAAACCCAAUCAUCUUAGUCGAUGAUUGCCUGAGCAGUGAAUACAUAGCUGUCAGGCGGUAGACGCAGUGAACUGAAACAUCUAAGUAGCUGCAGGAAGAGAAAGAAAAUUCGAUUCCCUGAGUAGCGGCGAGCGAAACGGGAAGAGCCCAAACCAACGAGCUUGCUUGUUGGGGUUGUAGGACUGAACAUUUGAGUUACCAAAGUGCGACGUAGUUGAAGUCGUUGGGAAGCGACGCCAAAGAUGGUGAUAGCCCAGUAAACGAAACGUCACACUCUCAGUUCAGGAUCCUGAGUACGGCGGGACACGUGAAACCCCGUCGGAAUCCGCGAGGACCAUCUCGCAAGGCUAAAUACUCCCUAGUGACCGAUAGUGAACCAGUACCGUGAGGGAAAGGUGAAAAGCACCCCGGGAGGGGAGUGAAACAGUUCCUGAAACCAUGUGCCUACAAGCUGUCGGAGCACAUUUACGUGUGACGGCGUGCCUCUUGCAGAAUGAACCGGCGAGUCAUGAUUGCGUGCAAGGUUAAGGUGGAAAAACCGGAGCCGCAGCGAAAGCGAGUCUGAAAUGGGCGUACGAAGUACGCAGUUAUGUACCCGAAACCAGGUGACCUACCCAUGUCCAGGUUGAAGGUGCGGUAAAACGCACUGGAGGACCGAACCCGUAUCAGUUGAAAAUGGUUGGGAUGAGGUGUGGGUAGCGGUGAAAUUCCAAACGAACUCGGAGAUAGCUGGUUCUCUCCGAAAUCUCUUUAGGGGGAGCCUCGAGGUUUAGAAUCAUGGAGGUAGAGCACUGUUUGGACUAGGGGCCCGUCAUGGGUUACUGACUUCAGAUAAACUCCGAAUGCCAUUGAUUUUUACUCGGGAGUCACACGGUGAGUGAUAAGAUCCAUCGUGGAAAGGGGAACAGCCCAGAUCAUCAGCUAAGGUCCCUAAAUAUAUGCUAAGUGGAAAAGGAUGUGGAAUUGCACAGACAACUAGGAUGUUGGCUCAGAAGCAGCCAUCAUUUAAAGAGUGCGUAAUAGCUCACUAGUCGAGUGACUCUGCGCCGAAAAUGUACCGGGGCUAAGCAUAUUACCGAAGCUAUGGAUGCAUCCAUCAGGAUGCGUGGUAGGAGAGCGUUCCAAGGGCGAUGAAGUCAGACCGUAAGGACUGGUGGAGCGCUUGGAAGUGAGAAUGCCGGUAUGAGUAGCGAAAGACAGGUGAGAAUCCUGUCCACCGAAUGACUAAGGUUUCCUGGGGAAGGCUCGUCCUCCCAGGGUUAGUCGGGACCUAAGUCGAGGCCGAGAGGCGUAGACGAUGGACAACAGGUUGAUAUUCCUGUACCAGUUGAUUGUGCUUGAGUGAUGGAGUGACGCAGAAGGCUAAGCGAUCCGGACGAUUGGAAGUGUCCGGCCAAGCAGCGAGUCAGUUGAUGAGUCAAAUGCUUAUCAGCGGGUUGACAAGCUGUGACGGGGAGCGAAAUUAUAGUAGCGAAGUCGUUGAUGUCACGCUGCCGAGAAAAGCUUCUAGCGAAUAAUCAACUGCCCGUACCGCAAACCGACACAGGUAGUCGAGGAGAGUAUCCUAAGGUGAGCGAGCGAACUCUCGUUAAGGAACUCGGCAAAAUGACCCCGUAACUUCGGGAGAAGGGGUGCUGAUCGCAAGAUCAGCCGCAGUGAAAAGGCCCAGGCGACUGUUUAUCAAAAACACAGGUUUCUGCAAAAUCGUAAGAUGAAGUAUAGGGGCUGACGCCUGCCCGGUGCUGGAAGGUUAAAAGGAAGAGUUAGCUUCGGCGAAGCCCUGAAUUGAAGCCCCAGUAAACGGCGGCCGUAACUAUAACGGUCCUAAGGUAGCGAAAUUCCUUGUCGGGUAAGUUCC